GACGAACGCUGGCGGCGUGCCUAAUACAUGCAAGUCGAGCGGAUGACGAGGGGGCUUGCUCCUUCUGAUUCAGCGGCGGACGGGUGAGUAACACGUGGGCAACCUGCCCUGUAGAUUGGGAUAACUCCGGGAAACCGGGGCUAAUACCGAGUAAUCCAUCGGACCUCAUGGUCUGAUGUUGAAAGACGGUCUCGGCUGUCACUACAGGAUGGGCCCGCGGCGCAUUAGCUAGUUGGUGAGGUAACGGCUCACCAAGGCGACGAUGCGUAGCCGACCGGAGAGGGUGAUCGGCCACACUGGGACUGAGACACGGCCCAGACUCCUACGGGAGGCAGCAGUAGGGAAUCUUCCACAAUGGACGAAAGUCUGGUGGAGCAACUCCGCGUGAGUGUAGAAGGUUCUCGGAUCGUAAAACUCUGUUGUGAGGGAAGAACAAGUAUCGGAGUAACUGCCGGUACCUUGACGGUACCUCAUUAGAAAGCCACGGCUAACUACGUGCCAGCAGCCGCGGUAA
rnacentral:rRNA from 1 species